GACGAACGCUGGUGGCGUGCCUAACACAUGCAAGUCGAGCGAAUGAAGUUCCUUCGGGAACGGAUUUAGCGGCGGACGGGUGAGUAACACGUGGGCAACCUGCCUCAUAGAGGGGAAUAGCCUUCCGAAAGGGAGAUUAAUACCGCAUAAGAUUGUAGUACCGCAUGGUACAGCAAUUAAAGGAGCAAUCCGCUAUGAGAUGGGCCCGCGGCGCAUUAGCUAGUUGGUGAGGUAACGGCUCACCAAGGCGACGAUGCGUAGCCGACCUGAGAGGGUUAUCGUCCACAUUGGGACAGAGAAACGGCCCAGACUCCUACGGGAGGCAGCAGUGGGGAAAAUUGCACAAUGGGGGAAACCCUGAUGCAGCAACGCCGCGUGAGUGAUGACGGCCUUCGGGUUGUAAAGCUCUGUCUUCAGGGACGAUAAUGACGGUACCUGAGGAGGAAGCCACGGCUAACUACGUGCCAGCCGCCGCAGUAA
rnacentral:rRNA from 1 species